rnacentral:lncRNA from 1 species
GUAGGCGUUAUUUUGUUUAGUGAAGUCACAUGAAUAUUUAGUAUUUAUAUUAUAAGGAAAAAAAAUUGGUAUAUAAAUGCAAUUUCAUUGUUUUAAUUAGGUUGUUCAGAUUUAUUAGCAGAUGCGCCAACAAUCUUCGAUACUAUAUACUUUCAUGUCAUGGUAUGAGCAGACAAAAUAAUUUUUUUCUGGUUUGCAUGGUGGUUGUCCUGUCUUUUCUCCUGUUCUAGGAUUUGUCAAUGGUUUGUCAUCUUUGAAAAGACCUAUUUAUAAAAAGAGCAAUAAUGAAUUUCAAAAUAUAACGGAGAAUAUUGGUAACUAAUAAUGAUUAGUGAUAAGCAAAAUGUAAACUAUAUGACAUACAUUCAUGAAGAUUAGCGAGUGAAACGAGGAUGAUACAAAAUACCGCAAUUUUGGAUGACGACAAUAUUAUUUAUCUCUUUAAAGAAAUGUUUUGUU